rnacentral:lncRNA from 1 species
GCUCUGAGUCGAGUAAUUGUGAUCCAAUUCGAAUCAUUUUCUCAAAAUCUUCUUCUUUUAACGGGAUAAAAACCAGUUGUUCAAUUGGUUCACCCCUCUCCUAAUUUUCUCUUUGGUCCAAUUUAUCAACAGGCAAAGAGUCUUCAAGUUUAUUAUUUUGGAUGGAGACAAAGAAGCAACGUCGGAUGAGUUAUUGAUCUUCACGCAUCUCUCCGACUCCAUAUCUUGUCAGAAAUCGAACUAACAAAUGGUAUGUCAAAUCCACUGCUCUCAGAUCGUUAAGUCCAGGUCAUCCGAAUAUGGCAUUA